GGGGCUGUAGUCUAACCUGGCAGGGCAGCUGGCUCCAGACCAGCUAAUCGGGGUUCAAAUCCUCGCAGCCCCA
rnacentral:tRNA from 1 species